rnacentral:lncRNA from 1 species
CUGGUAUAAUCAUAUCUCGGGUCAUUCCUAUUUUUACAACUUGUAUAGGUGAUUUAACUUCAUCAUACAAUAUCUCUGCUGGUACCAUGUAAAAUUUUAUAAAAAAAUAGGUUACCUUUGGUUAUUCUUUUAAAAAUGUUAAAUGAAUCAUGUAUUUCUGGUAUAUUAGAUAUUUCAUUUCCGUCUUAGGUAUAUAUGGUACUAAGUAGUCCAUAUUCGUAACA